rnacentral:rRNA from 1 species
AUUGAACGCUGGCGGCAUGCUUUACACAUGCAAGUCGAACGGUAACAGGCCGCAAGGUGCUGACGAGUGGCGAACGGGUGCGUAAUGCAUCGGAACGUGCCCAGUCGUGGGGGAUAACUACUCGAAAGAGUAGCUAAUACCGCAUACGAUCUAUGGAUGAAAGCGGGGGACCGUAAGGCCUCGCGCGAUUGGAGCGGCCGAUGUCAGAUUAGGUAGUUGGUGGGGUAAAGGCUCACCAAGCCAACGAUCUGUAGCUGGUCUGAGGGGACAACCAGCCACACUGGGACUGAGACACGGCCCAGACUCCUACGGGAGGCAGCAGUGGGGAAUUUUGGACAAUGGGCGCAAGCCUGCUCCAGCAAUGCCGCGUGCAGGAAGAAGGCCUUCGGGUUGUAAACUGCUUUUGUACGGAACGAAACGGCUCUGGUUAAUACCCGGGGCUAAUGACGGUACCGUAAGAAUAAGCACCGGCUAACUACGU